CUGACUCCUGCUUGCAGUGUGGAAUUGGAGCCUGUUGGGCAAGGAAUGGGAGACAGAGCCUUUCCUGCCCUAAUUCCUCUAACCUGUACAUUUUUGCUGCGUCUGUGGUUCUGGCCAGGGUUGGUGUUUGGGGCGGGAGCUGUGAAGUUUUGUUCCCUUUCCAGGUGGUGUUGCUGUAUCUGUGCUUGGGGCAGGGUGCAUUGGGGUGUUUUUGUCAAUUCAGGCUCCUCCUGAGGGAUGGAAGUUACAGACUGAAAAGCUUGCAGGGAAGGGUGACUCAGCACUGUGAUGUGGUCACACAGUGGGGUGAAUGAUAGAGAAAAGCCCCACCCUGAGCAACAGCAUGUGAGGUCAUCAUCUGGUUUAAGCCAGUGUUUCUGUGCUAUUGUCUUUCUUGUAAUUUUCCUGUUAAAUUGUAGCUCUGACUUGGAAUUUCUCACCAAGUAUUUGUGCAGAGUUCAUUCCUCCUGCUGCUUUACCUUCAAUCCAGCAGGCUUGCCUGAAGGCACUCAGGCAGCCCCUGGUUCUGUGCUCUGUGUUUGGCUGGUCAGCGUUCUUCUGCCAGGUGGUCCCCUCCUGCAGUUCAUCACCUGCCUGAGUUAAAGCUCCUGCUCAGAAAGUGAACGUAACCUUGUCUUCUCCGAGUCACCGACAAGCACGUGACAAAGAAGGGGACCCAGAAGUUCUCGGGGCCCUGGCAGUGAGAGAAACAGCAAAUGGUGUUGGAGAGUUUCUGUGAGCCCCUGUUUGGUGUUCCAGGUGCUGCAAGGCUUUGGUCAAAAGCCUGGGAGACACUGGACCCUUGAUGAGCAUUGACUGCACUUGUGGAGGGCCUGGCCACAUGGGCAUUCCUGGGAGGAGGAGUGCCCUGGAGUGAGUGCAGUGAGCCCUCAAGUUGGAGAGGCACUUGGGAUGACACAAGGAGACUUUGGAGAAACCCUUUUGCAGACUCACACUUGUGUGGAAAGGUCCCUGGCAAAUGCCAGACAAGAACUGACACAGAAUUUCUUGGGACCCUGGCAGAGAGAAAGAGAGAAGCAGUAAACAGUGUUGGGAGAGUUUCUGUGAGUACUUGUGAGAUCAUGGACUUCUUACAGCUUAAGAAAGGAUCUGGAUGGGAAAACAGCUUGUUUGACAUGAAAGCCUCAUGUGGAACAUCUGAACAAAGAUGAUGGGAUGGGACUUCUUGGAACCUAGAAAUAAGUUGAUGCGAGUAUUUUUGAUAGCAGCAGAGCAUCUGAAAGCACUUGGCAGAAGACUGUGCAAGGUAAGUGCAGAGCUGAAUGAUCCAAGCAGGAAAACAUCUGGGGCUGUGUUUGGAUUUCUCAAGGCCUUGUAGAUUCCUCUCUCCAACCACCACUUGUCAGUAGAGCUGGAUCAAUAUCCUUCAGCGGACCGUCAGUGUCUGGUGUUCCUGGCAUUUUAGUAGCUUGAGUUUUGCCCAAGGAAGAGCAUCCAGGUCUUGCUCUUGUGUUGAGAUAGCUUAGUGCCCUUUUGGACCUUCUUCAAGGAGUAGGUGGAGCCUGGAUUUGUGUUUCUUGGAUUGUCUUGACCUUCAAGACAAGGACUAAAGGGGCGUGCCAAGGCAGCAGGGGCUACUCCGGAAGUCAGGAGUGGUUGGGCUCUUCUGUCCUGGUUCUGCUUAAGAGAUGGCUCAGGGCUGCUGAAGUGCUGAGGGCUGCACAACAGGCCUUUGAGCCAAAGCUGAGCUCUUGCUGGAACCUUCCAGCCUAAUGCUGUGUUUGUACGCAUUCAUGAACAAAGUCCACAGGAUGGUUAGUGUUAGGGCCUAGGUAUCUGCUCACUAACAAAACAGGGAUUGACCUUUCUGUGACUGAGAAGCUGGACAAAGCCACAAAAUCAGACCUCUUGCCUUGCUGGCAGCUCCUGGGUUGUUCCCUGAGCCCUGGCCAGGCUUUGGGCCCAAUCCACGAGGAAGCCGAGCCCAGCUGUUGCCGCACUGGACGUUGUGUCAGCCUGUUGCUGGCACCCAAUUGUCCAAGCUGGGCCCUGUCCCAGCACAGUCGGAAGCCUCUUUGGCUGCAGGUGGACACACCCGUGGGAAUUCCCAGUUGUGGAAGAGGCUCUUCAGUGCUUGGCUGGGACAGGGGGUUCCCAGCUGGCAGGCUGUGGCUCUGGAGGAUGGUGCAGCCUUAGGCUGUGACAGGUGCUGUAUCUUAAUCCCUGUAGGCAAUUGGUCAAACCCAGGCACCCAUGAAAGUUGUUCACUCGCUCUCUGCUGCUCUAGUUGGGCUAAGGAGAGGGGGGAAAAAUAAAAAUUAAUGAGGGGUUCAUGAGUUAAGAACUGGGAGAAAAACACUCUAAGGUUGAAACGGGUAUAAAUUU